GGGCGACUAACUCAGCGGUUAGAGUGCCAUCCUCACACGGUGGAAGUCACAGGUUCGAAUCCUGUGUCGCCCA
rnacentral:tRNA from 1 species